rnacentral:lncRNA from 1 species
AACUAAAAAGCCCCAAAACCUAGCCCUUCUUUUUCUAGCUCCAGCCGCCACACUUCCCUACUCCAUCUCCUUUUGUCUUUUUCUUUAUCAACCUUAUUAAGGUAAUUUCUUGCUUCCCAGGAUCCUUUUCUAUUCUUUUAUUUGUCUUUUUUCCCCUUUAUUUCGAUUUGAAUUGUCUUAAUUUGUGUGAAACAAUAAUACUAGUUAAUUAUAAUAAAUCAGUAGUUGACUAUGUUGGAAUCUAAUUAAGCAAUUAAUUGUAAUAUAUGUUGGUUCUCUCUUUGAAUGAGAUUUUUUUAUUUUUAUAUUUUGGGGUUUUUUAUUUGUUGAGUUCAAUCAAAAAUGCACGUGUGAUUUGUGCCUUUUCUCGUUCAUGGUUGUCAAAAAUUGGUGAAGCUAAUAAAUGUAUUUUUGCUAGUUGUGGUUGAUUCACAGGCUAUUGUGCUUAUGCAGCCUAUUUCAAAGAACGCAUACUAAAUAUUCGAUUGACUUGAAUGAACGCUCUGACUAUUGCUUAGGUAUGUUGUUGUUCAUGUUAAUAUUUAUUACUUAGGUAUGUUAUUGUUCAUGUUAAUGUGGGUAGGUUUUUUUGUUGUGGAUCUAUAAUUUUUCCAUGUAAUAAUAAUGUAGGUUUACAUAUUUGUUUCUUCAUUGUGAUUCUGUUGAAAGAAAAUUUUAGGGCAAAAGAUUAAAUUGUCUUUUGAAAUAUUUGGAAUUUUGCUAUUCCUUUUAAGCUUAUUGAGAGUUUUAUUAUCUCAUAAAAUUGGUCAUAUUAAGCAUGUUAAGGAGAUAUUCAUAAAGAUAACACUAAUUAAACUAUUAGAGAAAUAUAUGAAGAUUUUUCAUGAGAAGUUAAUCAGUAAUACUUUUCUAUAAAAUAUAUGAUUAUUUGUACAUGUUAAAAAUAUAUGUUUGAUCAGUUUGUAUUCAGCUGGCGUUGAUUUUCUUUAUCAAAAUUGACAGGCAAAUAUGUGAAAUUAGUAGAGCUCAAUUGAAAAGCUAAUAGAUGUUGAUCAAACUAAGGUGCAGAUGAAGACAAUGACAGGAAAGAAAGGGAGAAGAUUGUGCAGCAAUGGGUCUCAAGCAAGAUUGUGCAGCAAUGGGUCUCAACUAUAGUAUUAGUACUAUAGUUGGUGUCAGAGAUCAAUUAUGUACUCUAAAUGUUUUGAAAUUUAAAAAUACAAUUAUGUAUCAGUUGUAACUUACUUUGGAAUCUAAAAAAUGUAUAUUCUUAGCUACAUUACACAAAUUCUUGUUAACAAUUUAUGU